UGCGGUUUCAUUAUAAAUAGGAGUCUGAUAUUGAAGUACUAUUAUAGUCGAGGGAACUCUUCAACGGUUAACAAUAGGUGCCUUGUGUCAGGUCACUCAGACUUCUGGCCUAUUAUAAAGAGACAGAGUCGCCAGGACCGAUGAAGUUAAGUCUGUGCACGACUAAGUCCAAAUUGUGGAAAUUUGCCAAACGACUUGUGUCGCCGACAUAGCUAUAUCUUCUAGCUCUAAAGCUACAUCCUAAAAAAAAAGUAAUAGUGGACAGUCUAUAUCGCUCGAAGGACUAAGGGCCCUUAUGUCUAAUAGGUGCCCGAGUGGCGAGCAAGGAUCAGGAGACGUUCUUAUUCCGAGCCUAUGAGCAUGACAGUGGAACUCAAAACUGAUCUUGACAUUUUUAGUGUGUCAUUUAAUUAUUCACAACUAUUUUGCGCAGUCUGAUUUCGCCAUUAUUUUCGAGAUAAUUUUGUAUUCUUCAACAUAAUUUCUAUGUUAUAUAAAAAUCCCCCUAGUCACAGCAGAUCCUAUAGAUGGCCGGCUGUAUUGAUUUAUAUCUGCGGUUUAGACACUGCACCGCAUCCUUGCUCCCCCCCCACCUGUACCACGUGGCACGGUCCGGCACUGCGGUAUUGUACUUGCGCAGAUUGCUAUCCGCGCUUCUCUCCUCCCUCCCCCCAACACGCCGCGCACCACGCCCUGGCCGGCACAUGCGCUGUACUUGGUACUGUGCAGUCCCCUCCCCUGUACCCCGCGCUAGACUUGGGCACUGCGGCACUGUACUUGCGCAGAACGAGCUUCCAUGCACCGCACCCUGCCCCGUGCUCCGCCCUAGCGCUGCGGCACUGCGCCAGUGCGCCGCCGAUCUCCAUCCAGUUAAGACGCGUCGCCGUGUUCCGAACACAACCGGUCUCCUUUGUCAUCUUGUGGACUGGUUACAAUAGUCAGUUAGUGGGUGCGCGGAAUUAGUUCGGAUUGUGAUUCGGUCUGCAUUAUCUAUCAUCGAGUGUUAGUGAAGUUAGAAGCAGCCAUUGCUGUGCCGCAACACCUGGUAUGAGGGUGAGUUAUACUUCAGUCUCUUGGUUUCUCUUUUAGCUGCGGUUGAGGAAGACAAUCGGGGGAGUUCUGCAGGUGUAUCCAGUGACCAAUUUAAUCUUCUUGGAGCUUGGAAUAGUACAAUUUUAUUUGUUCUUUGUUAUAAAAUUUAGACUUCAUGUCUUCUUUUCUCAGCAGAUCUUUCGGCUGUUAUAACUUUACAUCGAUUUUCUUUGUUACUUUAGUUAGGUUUCAGCGCCCCGGGGACUAGACAUGCAGUGUGUGAAAUUCUGUAACUUUCAUCACAUCUUGGCCCACUCCACUCCUCCGUGUUUUCGACUACGGUCCAAUCGUCAAAUCCAAUUUGAAUGGAUAGUUUUCAAGAUACUAGAUUUCUUCUUCCAUGCACAUAACUUAGUCCAAGACGAGGGCUUAAUAUUUAAUAGAAUACUGUCUGUAAUUAGUAUGUGUCACCAUAGUUAGUGUUGGUCUCUCAUUAUGUGCCUUAUAAGAAAGCUCAAGUUCACUCGGCGUGGAAAGAGCUAUACUCGAAGUUUCUUUGCGAGGUCGAAUCAAAACUAAGGAGAAGCAAAAGAACAAAAUGUCGCUGACGAAUGAAGUCCAAUUGAUUAGCAAGUGGUAGAGGGUGAUAUAGUUUGGAGCAUCAAGUUUCUCGAAUGGACGCCACGCAUCGACAAGCGCAGCGUCGAAUGUUUUUUUAAACUGUACUACGACACUCUAGCCAAGCCUUGGUGGGCUCGCUGUCAUUGCAGCGGUAAGUCCCCUCUGAGGAGUGGUUAGAGAGGCGUCCUCACCUACCGCCUGACACAGGUGCUUACCGGACACGGGAGUUUCGGUAGGUUCCUGUUUCUGAUUGGGCGGGAGGAAACGCCCGGGUGUCAUCACUGCAAAGACCGCCCGGAGGACACGGUGGAACAUACGGUUGCGGUCUGCCCUGCGUGGGCUGAGCACCGGCGUGCCCUCAGCGACGGCGACCUCUCGCGUCCGGCACUGGUACAAACCAUGGUGCGGAGCGAGGAGGACUGAGAUGCCGUCUCCUCCUUCUGCGAAGCAGUCAUGCUAGAUAAGGAACGAACGAAGAAUGAACCUCACGCCCCAGCCGUCGCGAGAGACACUCCGGGCGUCGGGGAUCGCGCGACGAUCUCCGGCCACCGUAAGUGCGGGUCUGCGGAUGGCGAGAAGGAGAUGCUCGCCGCCCGACCAGAUCCAGACUGCAGCUGCGGACUACCUAGCGGGUUUACCGGGGCUCUGGUUCGAAAAGUAGGAGUAGGAACGGGGUGGUUUUUAGUCAGUAAGAGUCUGACACUCCCCUCGCCUCGCCCAAGGUGAGAGAAGUCAUUGGACGAUUUUCCCCCCGCAAAAAAAAGGCAAACAUUGAGAUUACGGCAAACUCCUUGUACUUAGAGGAAGUCUAUAAUGUAUUAAUGAUGAUCAUCAUCAGCCUAUAUCAAAUCAAUCAGACUGUUGAGAAAAAGCUUGUCCUCACACGGAACCUGAAUGUUACGUAUUCCGACGUGCGGUCAUCACUGGUCUAUUGGCUGUCAGUCCUUCGAGCGAUGUGGCCUCCCAUUGCCACUUCGGCUUGCAGAUUUUAAGAGUUAUGUUC